UUGCAUAAAAUUAUUUCAAGAACCGAGAAUUGAAUUAGAAUUGCACUGAACCGAUCCAGAACCAUGUUGAAAUUUCAGUUUGGUUCCAGUUCCCAGACAGACCCCGAACUGAAACUGCCAGUGAAUACUUAUGCGUGACUUAGAUACUUUUUUCUUUCUUUAUAUUUCUUUACUGUGUUGUAUUCUAAAUUAUCCACUUGCGUUAUCAGAACUUUCUG
rnacentral:misc_RNA from 1 species